rnacentral:rRNA from 1 species
AUUGAACGCUGGCGGCAUGCUUUACACAUGCAAGUCGAACGGUAACACGCCUUCGGGUGCUGACGAGUGGCGAACGGGGGAGUAAUGCAUCGGAACGUGCCCAGAGGUGGGGGAUAACGCAGCGAAAGCUGUGCUAAUACCGCAUGUGAUCUGAGGAUGAAAGCGGGGGACCAGGCAGCAAUGUUUGGCCUCGCGCCUUUGGAGCGGCCGAUGUCAGAUUAGGUAGUUGGUGGGGUAAAGGCCUACCAAGCCGACGAUCUGUAGCUGGUCUGAGAGGACGACCAGCCACACUGGGACUGAGACACGGCCCAGACUCCUACGGGAGGCAGCAGUGGGGAAUUUUGGACAAUGGGCGCAAGCCUGAUCCAGCAAUGCCGCGUGCGGGAAGAAGGCCUUCGGGUUGUAAACCGCUUUUGUACGGAACGAAAAGGCUCUGGCUAAUACCUGGGGCUGAUGACGGUACCGGAAGAAUAAGCACCGGCUAACUACGUG